rnacentral:rRNA from 1 species
AAGCGGAGGAAAAGAAACCAACAGGGAUUGCCCCAGUAACGGCGAGUGAAGCGGCAAGAGCUCAAAUUUGAAAGCUGGCUCCUUCGGGGUCCGCAUUGUAAUUUGCAGAGGAUGCUUCGGGAGCGGUCCCCAUCUAAGUGCCCUGGAACGGGACGUCAUAGAGGGUGAGAAUCCCGUAUGGGAUGGGGUGUCCGCGCCCGUGUGAAGCUCCUUCGACGAGUCGAGUUGUUUGGGAAUGCAGCUCUAAAUGGGUGGUAAAUUUCAUCUAAAGCUAAAUAUUGGCCGGAGACCGAUAGCGCACAAGUAGAGUGAUCGAAAGAUGAAAAGCACUUUGAAAAGAGAGUUAAAAAGCACGUGAAAUUGUUGAAAGGGAAGCGCUUGCGACCAGACUCGCUCGCGGGGUUCAGCCGGCAUUCGUGCCGGUGUACUUCCCCGCGGGCGGGCCAGCGUCGGUUUGGGCGGUCGGUCAAAGGCCCUCGGAAGGUAACGCCCCCAGGGGCGUCUUAUAGCCGAGGGUGCAAUGCGACCUGCCUAGACCGAGGAACGCGCUCGGCUCGACGC